CACAUUUGCGAAAAACCCCCUGCAGUUCAAACUGCUCAGAUUUUGCCAAAGUGUACCGGUACACGGAAAAGUGUACCGGUACGCAUCCUACGAAAAUGCAAACCCGAGGCUCGGGUUCGAAAUUCGCCACAAGUGUACCGGUUGUUGAAGCAUAAAAAAAAAAGGAGAGAGGAAUAAAAGAAAAAAAAAAGGGGAGAGAAAGAAAUAAGAAUAGAGAUGGUUUAUGAGAUCAUCCAUGCACCAGGUGCAUGGAUAAAAUUUAAAUUUUGAAAAUAUCUCAUGCACCGGAUUGCGAAAAAAAUAAUACGCACGGGUAUAUAAAAUAGCAUAUUAGUUUAUUCCGUUUUGUAUAUUUACAAAAUGCCCCACCUUAAUGGUAUAAUAUUUUGAUUAAGGUGUAAUAUGAUCAAAGGGAAAAGACUAAUUCGCAAUAUUCCCGCAAUCCCAUCUUAACCACCCAAUAUCUCCACGAUUCCAUCAUAACCAUCCAUUACCACACAAUCCCAUCGCUGCCGUCCAAAAUCUAUCCCACAAUCUCCUCUCAACUACCCACAUCCCACGAUCCCAUUACGAUCACCCGCAUUCCACUCACAAUCCCAUAACCCCGUAACCGCCUCACCGAUACGCACAUCCUCCACGCUUCCCUCAAAUCGCUCGCGCACUCCCUCAAGUCGGUGACGAAACCACCCAUAAAUACCCGUGAAG
rnacentral:lncRNA from 1 species